CUGGCUCAGGAUGAACGCUAGCGGCAGGCCUAACACAUGCAAGGUCGAGGGGUAACAGGCGGUAGCAAUACUGCGCUGACGACCGGCGCACGGGUGCGUAACGCGUAUGCAACCUGCCCGUAACAGGGGGAUAAAUCAGGGAAACUUGACCUAAUACCCCAUAUUGCCAAUCCACCGCAUGAUGGGUUGGCGAAAGUUUCGAUGGUUACGGAUGGGCAUGCGUGACAUUAGCUAGUUGGUAAGGUAACGGCUUACCAAGGCGACGAUGUCUAGGGGAGCUGAGAGGCUAAUCCCCCACACUGGUACUGAGACACGGACCAGACUCCUACGGGAGGCAGCAGUGAGGAAUAUUGGUCAAUGGUGGGAACACUGAACCAGCCAUGCCGCGUGAGGGAAGGAAGGCCCUAUGGGUUGUAAACCUCUUUUGCACGGGAGUAAUAAGGCUCAUGCGUGGGCCGAUGAGAGUACCGUGCGAAUAAGCAUCGGCUAACUCCGUGCCAGCCGCCGC
rnacentral:rRNA from 1 species